CUGGGGCAGUAUGGAGCUCAGUCUGCUCUCUCUGAUGAUCUGGCUGAUUGUGCUCAUCCACUGUGAACAAACUCCAGCACAACAGAAACCAACUGUGAAGGUGGAGCCUCAGAGCCCAGACACAGUUACUCUGAGCUGUGAGAUGCUGCAGUCUACUGGAGAGAAGUUUUUAUGGAUGAAAAACUCUCAGUAUUUACAACAUGAAUUAAAAACACUAACCGUAACGCUGCUU